rnacentral:tRNA from 1 species
UGGAGUGUAGCUCAGUAGUAGAGCACUUGCCUAACAUGUGCAAGGCCCUGAGUAAGAUCCCCAGUACUGCAA